AUUGAACGCUGGCGGCAUGCCUUACACAUGCAAGUCGAACGGCAGCACGGGAGCAAUCCUGGUGGCGAGUGGCGAACGGGUGAGUAAUAUAUCGGAACGUGCCCAGUCGUGGGGAUAACGUAGCGAAAGCUACGCUAAUACCGCAUACGAUCUAUGGAUGAAAGCGGGGAUCGCAAGACCUCGCGCGAUUGGAGCGGCCGAUAUCAGAUUAGGUAGUUGGUGAGGUAAAGGCUCACCAAGCCGACGAUCUGUAGCUGGUCUGAGAGGACGGACCAGCCACACU
rnacentral:rRNA from 1 species